UACGAAGGGGGCUAGCGUUGUCCGGAAUUACUGGGCGUAAAGCGCACGUAGGCGGACAUUUAAGUUGGAGGUGAAAGCCUUGGGCUCAACCCAAGAAUUGCCUUUGAUACUGGAUGUCUCGAGACCGGGAGAGGUGAGUGGAAUUCCGAGUGUAGAGGUGAAAUUCGUAGAUAUUCGGAAGAACACCAGUGGCGAAGGCGGCUCACUGGCCCGGUUCUGACGCUGAGGUGCGAAAGCGUGGGGAGCAAACAGG
rnacentral:rRNA from 1 species